UCGCCCCGCCCCCGGCGGAAAGGGCCGCGAGGAGCGUGCUGAGCCCGUGCGCGGCGCGCCCCCACCAAUGGCAGGCGGGGGAGGGCGGGGCGCGCGGCGGCUGCAGGGGGACGUGAGGCCCGUGAGAUAAAAAAAGAAUAGCAUCCUUCCCAAGCCCUGAGCCGUGAGAAGCUCCCUGUCCAGAACUGAACAGACAGCCACAGUACAGGGUGGAAGUGCUCAGGUAGCACAACAAAGAAGUGGAUGACGAGGAGAACAGCCAUUUGUGAGAAAAGUUCUGCCCUGAAUCACACUGACAUUGGAGUUGGCUGAUCAUGCACAGGGCACAGCGUGCAGCCGGCGAGCCGUGCUCUGCGCGGGACUCAGCGCCCCCGUCCAUCCGAGCGCACGGCCGGCCGCAUCCCGGCGCGCCGUACGGAGUUGGCGGCGAGCAGC